rnacentral:tRNA from 2 species
GCACAUGCCUUUUCCUAGACUACGAAUCUGGGGGUCAGGAGUUCGAAUCUCUUCGGGUGCGCCA